rnacentral:tRNA from 1 species
GCUGAUAUGGCUCAGUUGGUAGAGCGCACCCUUUGUAAUUGUUAGUUCCCCAGUGCCACUCUGGAUCUCAGCU